AAAAUAUUUGGGGGAGGGGGAUGGCAGUGAGGAUAACUAUGACAAUAAGUGUAUUGUUAGAUUAUAAGCACUUUAAAGCAAGGUCUAUCUUGUUUUGUAAAAAAGAAGCACUUCCUGUUGCCCCUCCGGUGAGCAGUAAACAGGUCCUCAGUAUCUCUUGCUUACUUUCUGUUGCAUCAGGUCAAACACAAGAAUUACCCAGGAGAUCUAUUUAAUGCCUUAGUCCCCAUUACAUUCCUUUGGUUCUCCUUUACCAAUAGAAUUAUUCUUUUAGAAUUUUGGAAUGAAAAGCAUGCAAAAUAGUGUCUUCAUAUUGCUUAAAUGCUUUCCACCCAUGCCACUCAUUUCUAAUUUUUCAUGGCCUUAAACCACCAUCUGCUGGAAGGGUGGGAAGGACACUUGCAAGGUCGUCGUGUCUUGCCCUCCAGCCUCAGGCCUGGCUGCACUGAGCCUCCAAAUGAGAAGCGUUGUUGUCUUUUUCUGAAAGGUUUUCAGAGUUUCUUCUCAUCCUUGGAGGUUUCAUCUUCGGGCCAGGCCUAGUUCCUCCCUCCAAGGCCUGUAUUCCCAGUUGAUGGGCCAGGAGCCUUCAUUCAUACCAAACAUUCUGGAAAGUUUGUACCAUGAUAGUCAUUUUGUGUCUUUGACCAACUUUGCCUUCUUUUCCUUUAUAAAUCGUUUAAACACUUCAAGUCCAAAUCCUAACACAGGGGACAGCUUGUGAUUAACCUCUCUCCACUUCAAGAAGUAGUCAGCGUCAGUGAGUCUUCCUUCUAAAAUAGCUUAACCAGUUUUUAAUACACCAGAAAGACUUUGCCCAUAGCCCUCUGGUCAUCUAUUUUCCUUAAUAGCCUUUUAUGAGGGACCUUAUCAAAAGCUUGCAAAGAAAUCCAAGUAAAUUAUGUUCCUUGGUUCACCUUUACCUACUAUUUCAUUAACUUUUUCAAAAACAAUAUGACAUAGUUUUCAACAUAAUUAAAGGGGUUGGGGAAAAAAGGGAACUUUAACUACUGCUUGACAGUUUCCGGAGUUGCUUAGGAGAGCGGGUCACUGCUCACAUUCUGCUUCUGCUUAAGGACACUAAUUCAUUUCCCAGGCUGUCUGGCGAGGUCAGCCACUAGUUCAAGGUGGAAAUGACAAGUUUUUAGGCUUUCAAGUGUGCAGUACUCAGCUCUCCAGAGAGCACGAAGGAAGGAAACCACAAGUUUAUCCAGGUCUGGCCCAGAGAAAAAGGAAAUGCUGGGAAGAACCAAGACAGGGCAGAGGGCCGUGUUUCUGUGGAGGGGGGUUGCCCACAAGAGUCUCAGACACUCCCAAACAACACUUUAUUUUUCAUAUGAGAAGAGGAGGGGCUGAUCAUAGAAUCUGGGGAAACUUUCAGCCAUCCAGGGGAGGUAUGUCGGGCCAGAAUGCAAGAGUGGGCAGAGGCUGGUGGAAUCAGAAAGAAAGAGCUAGAAAUUAAAUAACUUCACACAACCAGUAGUAGCAGCAUUAAAAGGACGAUAAUAACGUAGUAAUAAUCGAAGUUACAUUGUUUGAGUGUCUCCUAUGUGCAAUCGGUGCUAGAUGUGUGCAUGUGCCUAUCUCGUUUAAGCUUAAUAGCUGGGGAUGGUAGAUAUCAUUAUCUUCAUUUAUAAAUGAGAAAAACAAGGCACAGAGAGUAUAAAGGACCUGAAGGUCACACAGGUAAUAAAUUAUCCAAUUUGGGAGGCAACCUCUUCCUACUAAUUCUGAAGUACAUGGAUUUUCAUGAUGCUAGCUAGUUAACUUUUAGCCUAUUUAGUAGCAAAAUUCUCCCAUAGGUCAAAUUUUCUAGUUAACUAAAUGUCCUAACAUUCUAAAUAUGAAUUACUAGUUUUCAUAGAACAAGUAUCAUUACUCCCUGGUUUAAAAAAAGGCACACGUUAAUUUGUAUUAAUGAUUCACGAAAGCAUUUAAGGGUUACAGUCCUCAAAACAUCUGUAUGAGUCUCCAUUUUCACUGGUCCGAAAAUUUGGAAGUACUUGUUUACAAAGUACUCCGGCUGACAAAAUGCUAGUAAAAUUGGCUUUUAAUAUAGAAAGGAACUAGAGAGGAAAAACAGAAAAGCUUCCAUUUCCUUCUGGCUUACUUCUUGGUUUCCACUGGCUCAAUGCCUAUUUUUCCUUAUGUCCUGAGGAAUGGGCCAUUUUUAGUCUUUUCCACGACUUCAGAAAGCCCACCAUAAUUGUCCUGCCACAUGCUUCAUGCUCCACCAGAUGCGAUCCUUGCAUAUUAGAAAGCAUUUUUUAAGUGUCUUUUGAAGACCUGCCCCCUCUCCCCAGGUGCUCCUGCAGGCUGCUGUGUUCCCAGGAUCAUGACACCUUACCUGCUGGCUUAUGCAUGCUUCUUGUGAAGUGUCCAGUAUCUAAGGGAACAGGUAGGUACCCGAAGGCCCUUGGGCAGCCCAGCUAAUAGGCUCCCCAUUCUUGAUUUGUCAAGACAAUGGCCCUUCAGACCAGGAGCCUGAGAAGUUGAGGAACCAGAAAAGCAACUUGGGCUUUUCUUCAAAGAAUGAUUGUGCUAAUUGGAGAGGAUGCAAAUGUGGCAGCCAGAGAGAAAAAUAAAUCUUUCAAUCUAGCAUAAAAACUGGGAACCUGAGGGAGAAAUAACGAGUCUCCUGUCUUAGGAGUGUAGAUAGCCUGUGCUGCUGGUCCUCACUAAGGUCAAAUAGAGUCCAGGGUUGGCAGUCUUGAAGAGAUGUUUCAGUGUCCAUUUCCAGAGAACAGGAGGCAUCAGCCCUGUGUGUUCAUCGGGUGUGUGGUUGUUAGGCAGGUCUCUGUGUGACUUGCUGGGCAGAGGGGCAGAGACCCUGGGCCAUGCAGGGAAGCAGAAAGGGUCCUACCAAGGUCAUGCAGCUGCAUUGCAAUUCUGGCUCUGGUACCUUCUAGCUUUGGUGACCUUCGACAAGUAGACUUUGAUUUAUUAAUCAGAGUUUUGGUUUCCUCAUCUGUAACUAGGGAAUAAUGCCUGACUUAUUGGUGGUUUGAGGAAUAUGUAAGAUAGUUUAAGAUGGCACUAUGUAACAAAGUACCUGACAACACAUAGCAAAUGAUUUCUUUCCUAUGAAUUUCCGGCCUGUUACCUUUCUGGAUACAAAAUAUAGAUUCAUAGCACAACUACGUGUGAGAAUUUGUGUUUUCUAUAUUCUCUCCACUGAUGGUAAGAAAAUAACAUUUUGUAGAUAAAAAUGUAGUGACUAAAUUUUCCCCCCAAUUGGACCGAUGAUGUGAAAAAAUUUUUUUCAUAGUAAUAGAUGAAAAGCCUUACGAAGCCAUACAAUUUAGAUGACAUCACAUGCAUUUCUAUCCAUCCCGCAUUCUCCCAUUUAAAGCAGGGAUAGGGCCUCUGGGCAUUUUGACCCAGGACUUUACAUCAGUAAUACAGUCUGGGGUUAAAAAUCACAUGCACUACACUCAGCCGAGUUAAAAGCAUAGCACAUUUUAUGUUUUUGGUAUAAUUUCUCCUGUUGCUCUGAGCCCUCUGUCUCUCUCUUAUAGGGAAGUGGAGGGGAACUGGAUGAAAAUUAAACCUGGCAACUAAAAGCAACUCCUUCUCUUGUUGACAACAGCCUCUUUGGGGUAAACGCCCAGUUUCCUAGGCCUUCUCUUCCCUCUUCCCACCUGUCAGCUGGAUAGCGUGCCCUCACCGUGGUGGGGGAAGGGAUCUUGAGUUGGCUUGUUACCUCUGUGUCCUUGCUGGCCUUUGCUGCAGGAUGGCUCUGGUCUAUUCCCUGGGUCCCCUGGGCUGGUGGCCACAGAGGGGUGCCUCCUUCAUCUGGUGUUUUGGAGUUUGUGUUUAAUCCUACCCAUGGUCCUGCUGUUUGCCUCUGGUAGUGGAGUUCUUGCACUCUGUGGCCACCUUAUUCCAACCCCCAGCCCCUGUGUGUCCUCUGGCCUCUCAGUACUACUGUAUCCUCCCAAGGAGUAUGUGGAAACUUCUGGAUUCCGUGUGUACCAAGUGCAGGCCUUGAGAAGCCGGAAGCUCUACUUCAGGGCACCUAGACAACUGUCUCAGACAAAUUAUCCUGUCUGGUAAUGGUACCAUGUUGCAGAGGUUUCAAUAUAAAUUGGAGGGAGAGGAAGGUUGGGAUUCAAAUUCUCAUGGUGUAUUCACAGGAAAGCAAAGAAUAAGUCCUAUUGCUCUGGGGAAUUCCUAGUGUGGGGAGUGUGGGAGGUCAGGGACACACAGAACUGGCUAGUUUCCUUUUUCCAUUUCUUCCUCCUCCAAGCUUCAGAACAACUUUCAACUUUCUCUCUAGGCAGGUGAAAAUCGUGCUUAUGUCAUAUUCUAAAUUCUCUGUACCUGUAAAAUUCCAUAUUGUCGCUCAAAGUAUUGUUUUGCUUACAUAAAGGGAGCUUUUGAAAUUUGGAAAUCCCUUUUUCUCAAAGCUUAGCUUUCAAGAUUAUCAUUUUAUUAAGCACUCAAAAAAGAAAUACUAAUUUGGUGGUAAGUGUUGUGCAAUGACUUCCUUUUUCCAUCACUUAAAGACUGAGAAACAUUGAUUUGAUGGAUGGAAACUAUAGGAAUCAUAAUUUAAACGAAAAGGGAGAUUAUAUCACUUUAACUUAAAAAAUGAUGCCUAUUAGUAUGGUUUGGAGAUUACCCACCCUGCUUAUCUGCUGUCAUUUAGCUACUUAAUUGGAGCUCAGGGACAGCGCUGGGGAAGGAAGGUGUUUUGCUGACUGGCCCAUCAAAGCUGUAACCAUAUUACUAGUUUGUACUGAGCCUGGGAAAGUGGCACUUAGACAAUUCUUAUGUUGAAACUUCCAAAGGUGGGAUUUUUCCUGGGCUGCCUGCCUUUUCUGGUCAGUAUAUCUCAUUAUUACAAGCACCUACGAAUUUCCUUCCUUAUGGAUUCAUAUAAACUCAUUGUAAGCGUUGAUCAGUCUUCUUUGUCUCCUUUUUUAGGAGAUGACCUUCUGCUUGCCUUGCUUGAUUUGAAGACUACAACAAGUUGCAAUUCUGCCGAGCAAAACUGUCUCAGAACUUUAUUGAAUCCGUUUAAUGAAUAUUCAUUGGGCUCCUACUAUGUGGCAAGCCACUGUUCUAGACACUUGCCAUGUGUGUGUUGUAGUGCUAAGUAUGGAGGAGUAGAAAAAGGGAACGUUUGAGAGAAAGGGAAGUAGAAAGACAGGGAUGAUUGCCUUCGAAAAGCACCAAAUACAGCAUACAUCAUCAAAAUCAUACAAAAGAUGUACAUUUCUUUAUUUUCCUCUUUUCCUCUUUGUACAAAGGGUUUGUGAUUAGCAGAAUCUGUUAUAACUGUGUCCAUAUCAGUACCCUCUGGAAAUACAAUGAUCACUCAGGGACUGGAAUAUUACCCUUUUUAAUUCAUAAAAUUAACUAUCAUUUAACUCAGAAUGAAUUUGGGGCCCUGGUGAUAAAGUUCAUUUAUCUUUAAUUGCCCUCCUCUCCGGUCUGACUGAUCUUCUCUGUGUUCUCUACUUUACCAAACCUUAUGCUGAAACAUCUCCCUUCCUCUGACUGUCUCUAACCUGGCAUCCUGCAAACUCAUGGAGUUGUCUUCUUCAUGGAAUUUUCUUUGAGCCUUCUAGCCAAUGCUGACAUGAAUCCUGUGAAUUCCUGUCACAUUUCUAGUUAGCUUCAUAUAGUUGGCCUCAAAACUAGAUUGAGAGCAGGGUCUAUGUCUUAAAUUUCUUUGUAUCUUCCAUAAUGCCUAGAAAAAUGAUAAGCCUGUUGUCGGCCUAAAUAAAUAGUUAGGUGUAUAUUUAUUGGGUACAUUCAGGGAUGAUAUUAAAAUAGUCAAUACGUAGUGUAGCAUGAACACUGGCCAUUGAGAAUACUCCUACCAAUUCACAUUGUCUGAAUAUCAACCAUGCUUUAUAUAUAUGUCUCAGAUGCUCACAAUAUUACAAAGGGUAGAUAUAUUAUCUUCCAUUUCAUAGAUGAGAGAUGAGGGAGCUGACUUUCAGAGAGGUUCCAACUACUUGCUCAGGGCAUGCAACCAAUGGAAGAACCUAGGUCUGUGUCACUCAAAAUCUGUGCUCUUUCCACUCCACUACUACACGGAUUGAUACUUGUUGAUGGAUUGGGUCCUCUCUUCCCUUGGGUUGAGGUGUCCCUAUCAAAGAGGGAGCUGGAUGACUGGCAAGUCUGACUGGAGCACAUGGAUAAUCAGCUCUCUUAGACUAAGCCAUCUCUAUGUGGGGACUUGCAUGGUCAUGAUUAACUGUCAUUUAUGGCCAGUUUACACACUAAUUUGCCUGUGUUACACAGAUUUGGUCAGCAAAGGUUAUUUUUCAAAGCCAAAGGUCCGGUAGCUUGUUGGAUGAUUCACAGUGGGUCCCUUGAAACCUCUCAGUGUUUCAAUUUCAUCUCAUUUUUAAGUGGGAAAAAUUGUACUUGCCUUAAAUUCGUUAUAAUUAAUUUAAAAGUACUUUGAACCUGCAUUUUUUAAUAUGAAAAUAACAUGUCAUUAUUGUCCAAACAUGUAAUUGAUGACUGAGAAAAGAAAGAUAACCUCUUCUCAGUUUGGUCAGUCAACAGUAAGGAGUCAAGUAAAUGACACAUUCUAACACGGGAUAGAGAGCAAUAAGCUCAUCAAUCCAAUUUCCUGUUCCUGAGCACACAGGAACAUUUCGAUUCCUCGUUAGGUUGGAGUCACAUGACAGAGUUCCGGCCAAAAAAAUUAAGACAGAGGGAUAUAAGCCAUUUCUAGUCCCACCACUUAAAAACAUCUUAAAUAAUACUCCAGCUUUCGCUUUCCCUUCCACAGUGAGUUCAGAUGCCACUGGUUUAAGAUUUCAGAAUCACAAAAUGGAAGGAGUUUGGGUUCCUGAGUCACCAGUUGGAAGAGAGCCUCCAAGGAGGGCUGCCAGACUUGCACUGGACAGUGACAUGAGGGAGAAAUAAACCUACAUGUGAGAUCCCUGAGAUUGUUGUUAUGGCAAUGGUAUUUAUUGCUCUAAUGCAAAAAUGGGUACCAGAAGUGGGAUAGUAACAUAACCAAAUCAUAUUCUUUGACUGUUAAGCUAUCCUAAAUGUGUAUUAUUGAUUUGGUGGUUCAGCAACAGGCCAAAAGGAAACUAAUACCAGAAAAAGGAAAGAUGGAAAUUUAGGUUACGCAGUGACCAAACAUUUGGUAUAACUGAGCCUGCUAUCAAUUAGAAGGCAGUGAUGUGCACAGUUUAUAUCUUUAGGGGAAGUGGUUAGAAAACAGAAUUUUAGCAGUGUUUUUGGCUAAUCUAGAUACGUAUUGCAAGAAAGAGAUGACUCAGGAAAGAAUUCAUGAGUUUGCAAGCAGAAAUAGAACACAGAGUUCAGAAAUUUGGGUUAUAGGAUUGGAAAAAAUAAAUUCGACUCAGAUAGCAAGACACGGUACCGAAAAAGGCUUUAAGUGACAAAUAUCCAGUAAAAGUUCUCAACUGAAUCAAGUUAUUUGAGGCAAAAAUCAAACUAGGGGUAUGGACUUCCCACCUAUUGUCUCUGAUAGCCUCAGUGUAUUUAGGUAAUUAAAUUGAGAGAAAGGCACGGUGGUGAAUAGGCAAAGAAAAAAGGUAUAUUUGAUAAUAAUGUCUAAAAAAUAACUAUAAGAGUGGUUACAGGCACAUGAACCUGUUUGGAAGCAAAUAUAUCACAUGCCUUCUAAGUUUUUGAGAAUCACACUGCCAAAGAAACCAGGGGCCUGGACUUGAAAAGUCUUUGUUUAUUCAAGGCUUGAAACCAUUCUUAAGUUCCCAACCCAUUCUAGACUGAGCAGAGGUGAAGCUUUUAGAGCUCACUGUUCUGAAGGAAGGGUAUUCCACCAAACCCUCUUUACUUGUGGCCAAGGAGAAGAAGAAAUAAGGGAGUCUGUUGGAGAGGCAACUCCACAUGCAUCCACCAUGCCCAGAAGGUAUGGGCUUCACAGUGCUGACUCAGAGCAGUCUCAGCUUGGCUGUGGGCUGUGAUGCUGCAUAUUGUCUAUUAUUUCUCUUUUCAAAUGGCGUUAUUUUCCUGCCCCUUUUCUGCCAUUAUAAAUGGGUUGUGAUGGUGGGGAAGUAGGGUGCAGAUAACUUGGCCUUUUAAUGUUAGACUAAUGGAGAAGAUGGCGCAUCACCUGGGUAUUCUGGACAUUGAUCUGGAGGUGGUGAUUGGAGGGGACCUUGCAUUGUCUUCCUUAAAAUGAGGUGAGUGUGCUCCAUGAGUGAGAGGAAGAGUAAAAUUGAUACUCGGCAUCCAGAAGGGCAGAGAAUGGCCAGAAACUUUUAAUGUUCACCAUUUUGGAGUCUCUUCUUGGACACAUGGGAAGAUUACAUCUCCCAGGCCACGCUGUAGUUAGAUGGGCCCUGUGCUCCUCAGCUCUGGCCAAAGGAAUAUGAGCAGAAGUGAUGACUACUACUUCGAGGCCAACUGGAUUAAAACCUGGUAUAUCUUCUUUACAUUUUCUCCCAUCUAAAUAGCCGGAAGCAAAGACUCUAAGAUGAAAGAGCCACAUGAGGGAAGGAGCCUCGACCUACACCAGAGGUUCAUAAAGUGACAACACAGAUUUGAUCCUUUCUCUCCAGAAGGUCUCAGUCCAGGGGAACGUGGGUAGCCGAUUAAGCACUGAUCAGAUGAAGCAUUUGGAGCACAGAGAGGUUGAAGACUGUCAUUGCCACACCUUGUUAAAUAGUGAAGCUGAGAUUCAAAUACAGAUCUCUCUGAUGAGAAAUUCCUCAGGGAAACAAAUAGACUUGAAAACAAAGACGUCUAUUAAGGUGCUGUGAUAGAAGUCUAUACAAGAGUGCGAAGGAGAAAGUCUUAGGGACACAACUGUGAUUGUUUCUCUGUGUGUCUGUGUGUGUGAGAUAGAGAGAGAGUAUGAACUGAGGAAGAAGAGAUUGAAGAUUCCAAAAUGCUGGGGAGGUUUUGGUGGAGAGAAAGUCCCAGAGGCUUGGAAUCCAAAUACAGAUGGAGGUAUGGGGCUUGGGGAGGAGUAAGGACAGGACAUUGGGAAAUUUGAGGUGUCUGAAGUGGCCAUGUCUGAUGACCUCAAAUGCUCACAGUCGUAAAAUGACAUUUUCUGAGAGAGAGUCCUGGAAGGGCUGCUAGUUGAGGAGAGUGGGUAGUAUUGUGGGAGUCAACAAGAGAUGAAUAAAGGAUUCACUGGGAACGGGAGGGUCAAGGGAUGAGCAGAAAAUUCAAGAGGAACCCUCUCCGUGCUCUCAGGGGGUUUUCAGGCCUCAUCUUCCCCUAUGCUGUGCACGAAGGACAGCACGCUGCUGACCGUUAAUUAUCAUCCACACUUGAAUUCCUCAUCCAAACCUCACAAAUAUUUGGCAACUGUCUAGAAUUUCAAUGUGAAGAAAUUAGGAAGCGGAGAGGCUUAUGCCCUGACUCUGAUAGGUCUUUGUCUGGUUUUCAGAGGCAUCGCUGAAUCUGUUCUUUCUCCAGCUGAUGGAAGCACGAGAUGGAUCUACAUCACGAGUAGAUCCAUCUCCAACAAGCAACAUCCUUGGUCUUCCUUUGCUAAAAAGCUUAUAUUAUUUUGCAUAUAAUAUGUCCAUUAAAAGUUUUUUGCUUUCUAUUGGCAUGGUGAAAAUGCAGUCCUGCUAAGGAGAAUCCUAUGUGCCUACUAAGUGGGUUGUGAGGUUGGAGCUGUGUGAGAAGAUCUAUGCCAAAUAAAAUUUAUUAUAAUGACUUUGGUCUGUGUCAUCAGUCUUAGAUAAUUGUACCGCAGCAGACAUGACUUUCUUCCAGAGGCAGACUGCUAGAAUGCAUGACAUAAUAAUGCCGUGAUUAAUCAGACCUAGCCCUCACUAGAGGGUCAAGAGAUACAAAUUCACAGGCAGCUAUAACUACCGGAAAAUGAUACAUCAACACAGCAUUUCAGGCCGGGCAUCAAUCCUAAAAUGUAUCGUUAGAAAUAACACCCAAC
rnacentral:lncRNA from 1 species